AACGAACGCUGGCGGCAGGCUUAACACAUGCAAGUCGAGCGCCCCGCAAGGGGAGCGGCAGACGGGUGGGUAACGCGUGGGAAUCUACCCAUCUCUACGGAAUAACGCAUGGAAACGUGUGGUAAUACCGUAUACGUCCUUCGGGAGAAAGAUUUAUCGGAGAUGGAUGAGCCCGCGUUGGAUUAGCUAGUUGGUGGGGUAAAGGCCUACCAAGGCGACGAUCCAUAGCUGGUCUGAGAGGAUGAUCAGCCACACUGGGACUGAGACACGGCCCAGACUCCUACGGGAGGCAGCAGUGGGGAAUAUUGGACAAUGGGCGCAAGCCUGAUCCAGCCAUGCCGCGUGAGUGAUGAAGGCCCUAGGGUUGUAAAGCUCUUUCACCGGUGAAGAUAAUGACGGUAACCGGAGAAGAAGCCCCGGCUAACUUCGUGCCAGCAGCCGCAGUAACAC
rnacentral:rRNA from 1 species